rnacentral:miRNA from 22 species
UAAGGCACGCGGUGAAUGCCAAG